CCGGGCGGAACUGAGGACGGUGCAGUCACAACACUGACGACAAGGGAUCUUUUGGGGAAAUUCUUUUCCAAGAGGGAGCAGGAGUUUUGCCCCCUGGAAUGCCCCGGAGCAGCUCUGCUGGGCUCCGGCCUGACUCAGCCGGGCAGGGCUCCACCUCCCCUGGCUCGGGAAGUGACACCUGAGAGAAUGGAAGUUCCAAUCCUGCCCGGCUGCGUUACCAGUAAUGAGGAGCCGAGAAGAGAACACACCGCAGAUGAACAUCUCAAGAACCGAGGCCUCUCACAGGAACACUAGCAAGUUUUGUCUCCAAGCAGACCUAAGUAGGUAGGACUUUGUAAUUAGAAAGAUCUAAGUUAAAAUUUGUAACCUGAACACUCUGCGGCCUUGGGCGAAUUAUCUAAACCUUUCUGAAACUGAAUUUCUUAUCUACAAAAUGGGGAUUCAACCCCC